AACGAACGCUGGCGGCAGGCCUAACACAUGCAAGUCGAACGGAUGUAGCAAUACAUUAGUGGCGCACGGGUGCGUAACAUGUGGGAAUGUACCCUUGGGUAAGGAAUAGCUACUGGAAACGGUAAUUAAUACCUUAUAAUGACUCCGGUCCAAAGAUUUAUCGCCCAAGGAUCAGCCCGCACCUGAUUAGAUAGUUGGUAGGGUAAUGGCCUACCAAGUCUACGAUCAGUAGGGGGUCUGAGAGGAUGAUCCCCCACACUGGGACUGAGACACGGCCCAGACUCCUACGGGAGGCAGCAGUGAGGAAUAUUGGACAAUGGGCGCAAGCCUGAUCCAGCCAUGCCGCGUGAGUGAAGAAGGCCUUAGGGUUGUAAAGCUCUUUUAAUGGUGAAGAUAAUGACGGUAGCCAUAGAAAAAGCUCCGGCUAAAUUCGUG
rnacentral:rRNA from 1 species